CCAACCUGCAGCCGCCUCCUCCUCCACUGUAAUGAGAUUUUGCUCGAGAUUCUCGAUUGGAGAAUUGUUGGUGGUCUUCUUCUUCCAAUACUUGAAGCUCUUCUUGACUAUGCUUUUCCUCGUCUAGUCGUGUCUGGGGCAUCUGGAAGUAAAGAUUUUUUUACUUGUAUUUUCAUUUAGUGAAUAAUUGAUUUGGGCUGUGCGGAAAUUGUGGAUCGUGAUGGUAAAUCAUCUUCUCUUUGGUAAAAGCAUUUGACUCCAUUCUUGCAGUUUAUGAAGGUUUCUGCAAUCUGAAAUAGGUAAUUUUCUCACAAUUUUCAAUAUUUCUUGUCAAAUAUCAUUUGGGAUCCCUGCAAUUUUCUUGAAAUGUCACACAGUUGAUGAGUUUUUUUCUGGAAUUGAUAGUGAUUCGGUAAAAAUUUGAGCUUUGUCAGUGGAUCUAUUCUCUUAAGCAGUCAAGCCCACAUGCAUUUUUGCUUUUAUAUAUUUUCUCCUCUUGUUUCCACUUGCAAGAAUAAGAAAAUAAUUUAAUUUCUAUGAUUGAAUCAUCAUUUUUGAGUUGGGAUUUAACCUUUAGCUUUAGUCGGGAUUUAACUAGUGAUGUUGCACGUGGAUCUAAAGCUAAAGGUUUGCCGAGGUUCAUCAGUUCGGAAAAUUCCUGUUCGAGAGGCCAAUUCCUACUGUGCAACUAAGGUUAUAGUAGGGACUGCUGGAAAUCAUCAUAUAAGGUCAUCUGCCUCUGUUGCUAAAUACUAUACUAAGAAAUUGCCCAAGGAUUGUUCGGACUUAGAUGAGAAUACCGGAGAGAAGCUUCUUGGAUCUUCGGUGACUGACCGAAGUGAGGCGGUGGCUGCUGGUCGUUUGGGUUUGUGGGGUUGGGAGUAAGGGUUUAGAUGAAAUUUUCACUUGAGGUCCUCAAGGUUUUGUGUUCACGUGUUCUGGUCCUUUAAGUUUGAAUUAAAGUCAUAUAGUGCUACCAAUUUAAAAGAGUGACCGUUGGUGAAACCGUCCCAAAACUUCAGUGACCGUUUCUGCAAGUUUGUAAUUUCAGUGACUAUUCUGAAAUUUUUAGUUAAGUUCAGUGACUGUUUGUGAAAUUUACCCAUAAAUAAAG
rnacentral:lncRNA from 1 species